rnacentral:rRNA from 1 species
UACGCAGGGCGCAAGCGUUGGUCGGAAGCACUGGGCGUAAAGCGCGUGUCGGCGUCUUGGCGAGUCGGGUGUGAAAUCCCGAGGCUCAACCUCGGAACUGCACUCGGAACUGCUUGGCCCGAGUCCCGGAGAGGGUGGCGGAAUUCCCGGUGUCGGGGUGAAAUCCGUAGAUAUCGGGAGGAACACCAGUGGCGAAGGCGGCCACCUGGAGGGUGACUGACGGUGAGCCGCGCAAGCGUGGGGAGCAAAUAGG